GGAAAAGCUGCUUACAAACUAGGCAGAAAUAACUGAGCUCGGAAAAUGGAUGUUACGGCAGAAACAAUAAGAAACUAAUGCAUUGUUCAAGACAGUAGAUGGGAUGGUGCAUUCAUUAACUGAACAGACUGAUGCUUCAGACAUGAUAUCUGGGUGCUGUGUUGAGCCAAACUGUCAACGGUGUUGAACACCCCAGAAUGUAUUUUAGCCGGAAACUACUAGAUUGGGAAACAAAAAAGGAAGAUUGACACUUCCAUCUCUGAUGUCACUUCCGGGGUCCGUCUACCUGGACCCUCCUUUUCCUGCCAGAAUGCCUAAAAAAUGGAGGAGCCACCAUCUUGGGCAGUCUACCUGAGACAGCAGUUGAUAUAACUUGCUUUUGUUGUGUUAUGCUCACAUUUCUUGUCAAAUCAUUUAUUCUAAUUAUGUAGUGUUGGCUGCAAGAUGCCCCAAAUCUUUGACUUUGUCCUGCUUUUUCUUUACGAUGGAUAAAGAAAUUCUACAAAGAUUAUAAGCAGAGGAGCACAUGAUGUUACCUAACUUUCAGGUAUACUUCUGGAUUGUAAAUGCAUUGUAUAUGUUUUUGAGAUUAAGCAAGUAGUCAAAAAUAAAUGAGCUUGUGAUUGCUUGAUUAGUCAUGGAUAGAAAAUUCUGCUCUCAUUCAUUUCUACAUGGUUUGCUCUACUCAUCAGCUACUAUUAAUUGCUGCUUGCUAGCUAGAAGUUUUAGAGUUUUUGACUCAUUUAGAAUAUGAUUCCAUCAAAAGAGACCUUUAAUAUGUGAGAUUCUACUAUCUUCUGCACCCUGACAAGACAUUAUUAAAUUUUUAAAAUGCACAGUAUUUUGAAAUUGAAAACGCUAACUACAGAUUUGUAUGUUGAC